AAUUAGCUCACACUGUACAACCUCAUAAAUUUAGCAUGCUUGGGACUGAGCAUCUGCCAGAAAUCUGAAAAUUCUGGAUUUUUGAAACCAGAGAGGAGGCCAGUUGUGGAGUCAGGGGGAGGACGGGAGUAGUGGUGCCUGGUCCCGGAGCAGCAACUGCACACAGGGUGGUGAAUGGCAGCAGCAGUUGCUGCAUGCAAGCUUCCCCCUCCGCUGCUCCAGGACUGACUGCCACUACUCCCCAAUAUAGUGUAUUUUUAAAAAGUGCCAGAGUUUCAAGAAUUCUGGAUUUUUGAUAUCUGGAUUUAUGAGGUUUAUAUUGUGCAAACUUUAGGAAGAAUUAACAUGGAAAAUGUAAUCUCAGGAUUUAAUAAAUCCAGUAUAUGUGCUGUAGUAGAAGUGCAUAUUAAAAUCAGCAAUAUGAGAAAAGGCUAGAGAAUUCUGCAUAAUUCUACACUCUACUUCAUAAUUAAGACACAAUAACAUACUAGUCUUCUGAAAUAGAAAAAAGGUAGGGGGAAAAAAAAGGCCAAUAUUCCUUAGAAAUGUCUCAAAAUUAUAAAUAUGUUAGGGCUAAAGAAAGAAAUAGAAAAUGGAAGGCAGAAGCAAAAAUUAGAUUGAAGGUUUACAACAAGAGAAUGAAAGUAAUAAUA